ACAGAGGGGGCAAGCGUUGUUCGGAAUUACUGGGCGUAAAGGGCGCGUAGGCGGCCUGCUAAGUCGAACGUGAAAUCCCCGAGCUCAACUCGGGAACUGCGUCCGAUACUGGUUGGCUUGAAUCCGGGAGAGGGAUGCGGAAUUCCAGGUGUAGCGGUGAAAUGCGUAGAUAUCUGGAGGAACACUGGUGGCGAAGGCGGCGUUCUGGACUGCAACUGACACUGAGAAACGAAAGCCAGGGUAGCAAACGGGA
rnacentral:rRNA from 1 species